rnacentral:hammerhead_ribozyme from 1 species
AUCCAGUUGAUGAUUCCCAAACAGAACGAAAUGCGCGUCUUGGAU